AAUUGUUUGACCAAAGAUGGUGUUUAUUUCAACCAUUUUUUUCUCGUCUAAUUUUCAUUUUUAACCAUUAAUGCUUAUUCAACAUUUUGCUUUGUAAAAAGUCACUUUUUUUAAUUUUCCAUAUCCAUUUUUUUUAAUUAAAAUCAGAAAUGAUUAAAUCAUUAGUUUCAUUAUUUUUAAUUUUCAACCUAUUAGCAACAAUUGAAUGUGACCCUGAAGUUUAUAAAGCGUGUAACGCAAAAGAGUUACACGAUAUUUUAACAAUGGUUUGUUCAAUCCAUCCACGUCGGAAAAGUGAGCUCAGUGAUUAUGAGAUUAAAAAAUUGAGGAAAAACCGCCUUCACUCAGUAAGAGGAUUAGCCGAGCAAUGUUGCUCUCAUGGUUGCGAUGUUUCAAUCUGGACUCUUCAUUGUUAACCUGACCAUCAAUAACUUCAACCAUUCAUUUGUCUAAAAAUUUCUAGUCAAUAGCCAUUGGAAAUGUUUGUGUAAAUGUUUUCUUACCUUUUCUCAUUCUUGAUAAUUUCAAUAUAAUCAUGUGAUCGUGAAUAGAAACCAUCAGAGGACAAUGCUCCCCAAAAAUUGGACCAAAGUUUACCAGGACGGACGAGCAGUGGUGCAAUAAUGCGCCUAAAUGAUAAUCAAAGUUGGAGGGUAAUCAAAACCCAAAUUAGUACCCAAAACAAGAAGAUAUGUUAACAAAAGGUGGUGUAAACACAAUUUGGUUGGAUGAGCAACGAUGGACAAAUAAAUUUCCAGUUAUCAAAAGAUACAAACAUGCAUCAUAAAUAUCAUCAAAUCAAAAAGAUUAUUAUAAUUUGUUGUUUUUACUAACCUGUUUUGCUCAAUUAAAGAUAUCAGAGUCUUGGUAUUAUUGAGACGUGCAUCUGAGUCGAUUGAGAAAUAAUAA